rnacentral:rRNA from 1 species
GAGCGCCGUAGCAAUACGGAGCGGCAGACGGGUGAGUAACGCGUGGGAACGUGCCCUUCAGUUCGGAAUAACUCAGGGAAACUUGAGCUAAUACCGGAUACGUCCGUAAGGAGAAAGAUUUAUCGCCGAGGGAUCGGCCCGCGUCCGAUUAGCUAGUUGGUGGGGUAAUGGCCCACCAAGGCGACGAUCGGUAGCUGGUCUGAGAGGAUGAUCAGCCUCAUUGGGACUGAGACACGGCCCAAACUCCUACGGGAGGCAGCAGUGGGGAAUAUUGGACAAUGGGCGCAAGCCUGAUCCAGCCAUGCCGCGUGGGUGAUGAAGGCCCUAGGGUUGUAAAGCCCUUUCGGCGGGGAAGAUAAUGACGGUACCCGCAGAAGAAGCCCCGGCUAACUUCGUG